AGGAGUGUGUAACAACUCACCUGCCGAAGCAACUAGCCCUGAAAAUGGAUGGCGCUAAAGCUCCGUGCCUAUACCCGGCCGCCGGAAGGCAUAGGCGUGAGCCGCUCUUCUGGGGCGGCGAGCGCGCGAAGCCCCGGCGAGUAGGAGGGCGCGGCGGUGUGCGCGGAAGGGUCUGGGCGUGAGCCUGCCUGGAGCCGCCGCCGGUGCAGAUCUUGGUGGUAGUAGCAAAUACUCAAGCGAGGGCCUUGAGGGCUGAUGUGGAGAAGGGUUUCGUGUGAACAGCCGUUGCACACGAGUCAGUCGAUCCUAAGCCCUAGGAGAAAUCCGAUGUCGAUGCGGGGGGCCGUCCAUCCAACGUGCUCCCCCUCGAUGGGCGAAAGGGAAUCCGGUUCCUAUUCCGGAACCCGGCAGCGGAACCGAAUCUACGGGCCCUCGUCAGAGAAGCUCGUCGGGGUAACCCAAAGGGACCCGGAGACGCCGUCGGGAGACCCGGGCAGAGUUUUCUGUUCUGCAUAAGCGUUCGAGUUCCCUGGAAUCCUCUAGCAGGGAGAUAGGGUUUGGAACGCGAAGAGCACCGCAGUUGCGGCGGUGUCCGGGUCGUCCCCUCGGACCUUGAAAAUCCGGGAGAGGGUCACGCGGAGGUGUCGCGCCGGCUCGUACCCAUAUCCGCAGCA
rnacentral:rRNA from 1 species